rnacentral:rRNA from 1 species
CUACGGAGGGUGCAAGCGUUAAUCGGAAUUACUGGGCGUAAAGCGUACGUAGGCGGUCCGUUAAGUUAGAUGUGAAAGCCCCGGGCUUAACCUGGGAACUGCAUUUAAAACUGGCGGACUAGAGUUGAGUAGAGGGGAGUGGAAUUUCAGGUGUAGCGGUGAAAUGCGUAGAGAUCUGAAGGAACACCAGUGGCGAAGGCGACUCCCUGGACUCGAACUGACGCUGAGGUACGAAAGCGUGGGUAGCAAACGGGAUUAGAUACCCCUGUAGUCC